rnacentral:lncRNA from 1 species
AAAAAAGGGACUAGACUCUAAGACACAAAAAGGCGCUAGCAGCAAAAAAACCUAAAAAACCUAGGGAGAUGAGCGCCAUUUUCUCAGAAUAGAGCCGUUCCCAUCAUCGCUUCUUCUUCAGAGAACCAAAUACACGACUUCCCCCAUCGUUCUUUACCUUCUUCAGCAUCUUUGAACCUUGAACACCCAAAACAACACACACCCAAAAAAAAAAAAACCGUAGCUCACCCCAUUUUAGGGAUCACAUAGCACACUGAAAUUGAAAGGACUCACCAUGGCCUCAAUGUCAUGAAUCAUUAUAUAGGACACCAUGUAAAUCCUCCAUUGCCUAUUACAUCCAUCUAUGAAAGAAAACCCAUCUUCUUCACCGUUAGAGCCAUUCAAGAACACCACUCUUUUAUCCCCUCACCAUCAUGAAAUCCAUUUGAAAUAAUAGCUCGAAACAGCCCCGAAAAUCACACAAAAACAGUAGCUCCAAGAGUCGAGUUCGAGGCCGCGUUCGAGCUUCAUUCGUUGGCGUUUGUUUGAGGUUGCCGCCAAGUUUCUAUUUGUUGGCUCGAUCUUCAUAAAUAAAAGAAGCUGAGGUUUUAUUUCCAACUUUCCUCUGUUUUUUAUUCUUUGAUCUAAUAAUUAAUAUGUGGUAAUUAAGUGGUAUAAUUUGUUUAAUGUUCCUGUGAAUUAGUCUAAUUGUUUGGUGAGUGCUUUGCCAUAUUUGGAUGCUGAACAAUAAACAGUAACAUCUGAUUUUCUUUUAUUUUAAUGUUCAUUAAUGAUUGAUAAAAAUUUAUUGCAGCCCGUUAUUGUUACUGUGAAACACCGCUGCUGUUUUUUUAAGCAUUUUAGAAAGCUCAUUUUGAAACAUAGUAAUUAAUUUGUACGCCUUGCAUCUGCCCAGUAAUUCAAUGAUUGUCAAGAUGAUUUGUGGACUUGGAAUGCAAUUGUUGUCAAUUCCUCAUCUUUUAUUCUCUCUUCAAAAAUACCACAAAUAAUUCUAAUGAAAAGAUUUCUAUAUGUAAUUUAAUCAAUUAUAGAAUUCACUUCAUGUGUGUAACAAAAAGUAUUAUUUCAUCGUUUUACUUAAGAAUUUUCGCGCGGAUAUUUUACUAGUAGAUUCAUGUGAGGAAGGAAUAGUUUUAUUCAUAUUGUGGAUGAUUAGGUACAUUAUUAGUUCUACUGAUCUUUAAUGUUAAGAUCCAGUACGAACAUUGUCCUCUUAUUUUUGGGAUUAUUAUAUUCCUUUAACUGCUUAUGAAAAUAAAAGAAAAUGAAUUGUGAAAUUAUGUUGCCAGUAGUAUAUGAACUAGUUUUCUUUAGACACGAUUAAUAAUAAAUUAUCGUGGCCAUGGGUACGGUUCCCGUGGCAUGGUUACGAUAUGUAAUCCCCAAUCCGGGGGUAAAUUUCAUGUGAUCCGGUUCUAAUUUCCAACAAGGUUAAAUAGAACGUGUCGUGAAUCACGGGUGCAUUUCAUGUAGCGUGGCUUGCGAUGUGUUUUAAAUAACCUUGAAAUAAUUCCUUUAAUAAUUAAAAACGGUUUCAAAGUUAAAAAUGCACAUAGGCUUAAAAGUAUUUUAAAAUCAAAUAAAUAUGCCAAUAAUAACAGUUGAGCGACCGUGCUAGAACCACGGAACCCGGGAAUGCCUAACACCUCUUCCAGGUUAAUAGAAUUCCGUACCCAGAUUUCUGUGUUCACGGACUGUGAAACAGAGUCAAUUUUUCCUCGAUUCGGGAUUUUAAACUUGUGACUUGGGACACCAUAAAAUAUCCCAUGUGGUGACUCUGAAUUUUGAUAAAAUAAUCCUGUCUCGAUUGUCACUUAAAUUGGAAAAAACUCCCUUAUACCUCCUCUCGGUGGUAGGAAAAAAAGGAGGUGUGACAGGUCUGGCGACUCUGCUGGGGACAAGAACCUAGAAUCUCUGGUUCAGGGUUCAAGAAUUCGAGCUUAGAAUAAUUGUUAUAUUUGGCUUUAUUUAUUAUCUGAUUUUAUUUACAUGCUCGGGCCUAAUGUGCUAAAUGUUACUUUUUACCGCUUUGAUAUUGUUGAACUGUAUAUAAAUUGAUAUGAAACCCUCCUCUCUCUGAGUCUUCUAAAUCAUCUGAGAAGUGUUCACUUCGUGUGAUUUCUCGUUAGAGUCAUAUUCCAAUUUUAGAACGAGGUUCGGACAAGUUGCAAAGCCGGUAAAACUUCUGUAUUCCCAAUACGCUGCCCCCGGCUCGAGCUGUCCGCUCGGGUAAGCAAGGUCUAGAACAAAUAAACCCAGGUUUUUAAACCUAAAAUAACAUAGCCUCAUGCCAGAUCCCUAGUAGAAACUUUUGUUGCAUCACGUGCAUUUGACUUUGGGGACUCAACACAGGGGUUGGGUCCGUCUAGGACAUGUGUACCCAAAAUAACAAACCAUGCAUCUUGAUGCAUCCUACGUGCUACAUGUUGCAUUUCUUCAAGGGUAAAAGGAUCAUUUGGCGGACCAAUGAUAGUCGAGGGCAAAUGAAAAAGAACAAAGAGAAGAAAAAAAAGAGGGUAAAGUAUAAAAAUGAAGCAAGUGAGGCCCAAUUAUAAUUUUCUUUCACACUUUUUCAAGAAAAAACCAAAAAAAAUGAAAAAUCCAAAAAAGAGUUUGCAUUUUCCCCUUCAUUUUUUUUUUCAAAAAAUAUCAAUCAAAAGAAGAGGAAAAAUAAAAUUCAAAAAGAGUUUACAUGUUUCAUCGUUUUUCAAAAAAAAAAAAAGACAAAAAAUAUAUUUUCUCUGAAUUAGUCAUUUUUUUUUAAAUUCUCGCUCGUAUCCAAUCUGCCCGAACUAUGCAUACCUGAUUCUCGUCUUUCGGAGCGUGAUACCUAGACAACCCACAUAGGGUCCGAUCUUCCUAGUAAAUUUUAGGUUCUUGGCUCUGCGAGGUCUUAGCCAAAUUUUGCACUUCUAGCCACCUUUUGGCCAAAUAAGUCAUUUUGCAAAAAUAACCUCAAUCAUGUCUUGCAUUUGUCUAGUAGGGAGUGUUAUUGUCUCACAUAGUGUAGGUUUAAAGUUUUCUCAUACAGGUGAGGAUCUACUUAACGGCGUUUGAGUAUGAUAGGCACCCCGGGACCAUCCAGUCAGGAUCGCUUAGUUAGGAGUUGCUUAAG